GAUGAACGCUGGCGGCGUGCCUAAUACAUGCAAGUCGAGCGAAUGGAUUAAGAGCUUGCUCUUAUGAAGUUAGCGGCGGACGGGUGAGUAACACGUGGGUAACCUGCCCAUAAGACUGGGAUAACUCCGGGAAACCGGGGCUAAUACCGGAUAAUAUUUUGAACUGCAUGGUUCAAAAUUGAAAGGCGGCUUCGGCUGUCACUUAUGGAUGGACCCGCGUCACAUUAGCUAGUUGGUGAGGUAACGGCUAACCAAGGCAACGAUGCGUAGCCGACCUGAGAGGGUGAUCGGCCACACUGGGACUGAGACACGGCCCAGACUCCUACGGGAGGCAGCAGUAGGGAAUCUUCCGCAAUGGACGAAAGUCUGACGGAGCAACGCCGCGUGAGUGAUGAAGGCUUUCGGGUCGUAAAACUCUGUUGUUAGGGAAGAACAAGUGCUAGUUGAAUAAGCUGGCACCUUGACGGUACCUAACCAGAAAGCCACGGCUAACUACGUGCCAGCCGCCGCGGUAA
rnacentral:rRNA from 1 species